GAGGGUAUAGCUCAGUGGCAGAGUGCAUGCUUAGCAUGCAUGAGGUCCUGGGUUCAAUUCCUAGUACCUUCA
rnacentral:tRNA from 1 species